UCACAUGUACAUUUUCAACAAUAGAGAAAAGCACUAGCGGAAACAUACACAAACGGCUUACACGAGGGUAAGCAAUAGCCAUUAGUGAAAGAAAAAGAAAACUAAACAUUCACAAGUAAUAUGAUUCAUUUUAGAUCAUAUACAUUGCAUUCAUCUAGUAAUUUAUCGAAUUCUUACAUUCAUUACAUCAUUUCAUCAUUUCUUUCUUACAUCACAUUUACCUCAAAAUAAGCUUUACAUUCUUUCUUUACAUCACUAAUCAUCAAAUACAAAAGAUGAUCAUAAAGUACUUUACUACAAAAUGAAACCCAACAUUGGUGGCCUCUGACUAAGGCGCGAUACCUUUACCUCGGUCGCUCGCCGGCUCGCUCGGUCCCGGCUCUGUGGAAAUAGUGGGGUGAGAACUACAACAAAGUUCCCAGUGGGUUCGGCCUCAACAUCACCGACUUUCCCACUAGGACUAACUCAGGCAUAAUAGAAGAAAUAGGCUGUAAAUAGUAACCAAACUAUACUUAAUGCUAAUAUGCCUGAACAAAUAGCAAGAAUUAUGCUCAACAUUGAAUAAAUGCAGGUUAUGCAUGUUCUUUAGUUCUUUGCACUUUACACUUUGUUCUUUGCUCUUUGUUCUUUACUCUUUGUUCUUUAAUCAUUAAGGCUAGCCCGGGGGUUUCGCCACAUUAACUUGCUUCACAUUAAGUCCAUCAUCGUAGGAACUCACCAGCUAGGACCGUCCUUACGGGUUUACUCCAACCCGGAUGCCAAACUCCGGAG
rnacentral:lncRNA from 1 species